rnacentral:rRNA from 1 species
GAUGAACGCUAGCUACAGGCUUAACACAUGCAAGUCGAGGGGAAACGACAUCGAAAGCUUGCUUUUGAUGGGCGUCGACCGGCGCACGGGUGAGUAACGCGUAUCCAACCUGCCCACCACUUGGGGAUAACCUUGCGAAAGUAAGACUAAUACCCAAUGAUAUCUCUAGAAGACAUCUGAAAGAGAUUAAAGAUUUAUCGGUUAUGGAUGGGGAUGCGUCUGAUUAGCUUGGUGGCGGGGUAACGGCCCACCAAGGCUACGAUCAGUAGGGGUUCUGAGAGGAAGGUCCCCCACAUUGGAACUGAGACACGGUCCAAACUCCUACGGGAGGCAGCAGUGAGGAAUAUUGGUCAAUGGACGGGAGUCUGAACCAGCCAAGUAGCGUGCAGGAUGACGGCCCUAUGGGUUGUAAACUGCUUUUAUAAGGGAAUAAAGUGAGUCUCGUGAGACUUUUUGCAUGUACCUUAUGAAUAAGGACCGGCUAAUUCCGUGCCAGCAGCCGCCGUAA